UAUUUUAAAUAUCAUUAAUUUUAUUAUUUCAAUUACUUUAUUAAAUUAAUGUAACGUUUUGAGGUUAAAUACAGACUUAAAAUCAUAAGAUAUAGUUUAAUAGCUAUGAUGAAAUCAAAGGAUUGAAAUCAAAUCUUUGGAUUGCUGACAAGAAACACUGGAAAAUGGGGGGAAAAAUUAAUCUAAAGAAUCAUUAACAAUUUCAUAAAUAACUGUAAUUUAAUUACAUUUUCUUCUCGGUAACUAUAACUGAUUACAGUUAAUUUAUCUUGUAAUUAAAUUAUGUAAUCAGUUACAUAUAAGUAGCCUAAUCUUUCCACUAUUUGUUCACAGACUCAUUUAUUCAUAUAUUGUGUAAAACAACGACUGACAUGUAGAAGACUUCUUUAUACACACAGCACAAACAUGUAUUAGGUUUUAGAGCAGAAGAUAUCGUUCGUGAACAGCUUCGAGUAAUGAAUCCUUUCAGAUACAGUUACAUUCCAUAACUAUUAACUUUAGCUCGCUUGUAAACACUAUAACAUACACUGAACGCGUUUGUAUGAAUUCAAACACUUUAAAUGAUUAAGACCACAAACCUGUCUUCAGCUGAAACACAGACGCAGGAGCGCGGCGCAGCCUCAUGACGUCAUGCCACCAGAUCAAAACAAAAGUCUGUUAGCCGUCACGUCACGUCACGCGCUGAACUUGUCAUCUCUGCCGUGUUUCUGCUUUUGUUUUAAACAUUCUAUGUUUGUUUUCGUGAUUAUUUCUUAAAAUUAAAAAAAAAAAAAAAAAAAAUUAACUCUUGUUGUGCGGUUAUUUGUAUUAACAGACCGUCCAAGUCUGGGAUCCAGUUUUUCCGAUUUCCUCUAGGUGAUCCUGAAGACCCUCUCAGACUAGACCAGUGGAUGCUCAACAUGAAACAGAACUGGACUCCUAACAAGGCUUCUCGUCUGUGCAGUGUACACUUCACCACUGACUCCAGGGCACAAAGACCUUGUUUUAUACCUUACAAAGUCAAAUAACUUAUUAGUUUAAAUUGGUGAAAUAUUGACUGUCAUACAUUAACUAUUAAGGUGAAAUUAGUGACACCCCAGUGAAUGUUAGUUUUUCACAGAUGCAGAAAUCCAAUUAAAGAUUUUACCACUCCAGCAAAAUGACCACUUUUUGCCAACUUUUUCAUUUCAGUGCAUUUAAUGUUAGUGAGAACUGUUAAAAAAUCUCUCUGUGAAUUUCAUAUUGGAAAAAUGAUCUUCAUUAGACAGCUGCAGCUGAUCCAGAACGCUUCUGACUAGAACCAGAAAAUCUGAGCAUAUCACACCAGUCCUCAGGUCCUUACACUGGCUUCCAGUUACAGUUAGGAUUGAUUUUAAAGUACUUUUACUCGUUUAUAAAUCACUCAAUGACCUAGGACCAAAAUAUAUUGCAGAUAUGAUCACUGAAUAUAAACCUUAUGGUGCGUUCACACCAGACGCGAAUAGACAACCUGCCUUAACCAGUCAGGAGCUUGCUCUAGUAGUGACGUGAUUACAGUAUAGUGUAAUGAGAAUGCAGCAACGGUACUGAUACUGUCCAGUAUCUCUUAGAGUCUGCAUGAACAGGGCCUAAGGUGAUAUUGAUCUGUUUGCCAUCUGUUAUGUGAAAUACAUAUGCAACCUCCCUGGUCAAUGAUUCUGUAGGNAAUUUAAAAAAAAAAAAUACAAAAUUAAAAGAAAAAAAAAAAAAAAAAAUUUACAAAAAUUACAUUUUUACAUAUUCUCUUAUGAUAAGUUGAAGGCUUCAAAAAGUUAACAUCUAUGGUUUGUUUGAUUUUAUAUUAUAGAUAUUGAGUUAUUGAAGUGUUAUUGUAAUACAGUCUUUUAAUAUUUGAGGUUAUAAAAAAUAGCUUUAAAUCCAUAAAUAAUUUGUAAUCUGCUGU
ensembl:lncRNA